rnacentral:rRNA from 1 species
GAAAAGGUGGGGGGGUUUCCCUUGUCAGUCGCACGAAGCACCAGAGAAUGAUUCUUCGGAUGAAGUCUCUUGUGACUCCAGUGGCGGACGGGUGAGUAACGCGUGGGUAACCUGCCCAACAGACUGGGAUAACACCUGGAAACAGAUGCUAAUACCGGAUAACAACACUAGACGCAUGUCUAGAGUUUGAAAGAUGGUUCUGCUAUCACUCUUGGAUGGACCUGCGGUGCAUUAGCUAGUUGGUAAGGUAACGGCUUACCAAGGCAAUGAUGCAUAGCCGAGUUGAGAGACUGAUCGGCCACAUUGGGACUGAGACACGGCCCAAACUCCUACGGGAGGCAGCAGUAGGGAAUCUUCCACAAUGGACGAAAGUCUGAUGGAGCAACGCCGCGUGAGUGAAGAAGGGUUUCGGCUCGUAAAGCUCCGUUGGUAGUGAAGAAAGAUAGAGGUAGUAACUGGCCUUUAUUUGACGGUAAUUACUUAGAAAGUCACGGCUAACUACGUGCCAGCAGCCGCGGUAAUACGUAGGUGGCAAGCGUUGUCCGGAUUUAUUGGGCGUAAAGCGAGUGCAGGCGGUUCAAUAAGUCUGAUGUGAAAGCCUUCGGCUCAACCGGAGAAUUGCAUCAGAAACUGUUGAACUUGAGUGCAGAAGAGGAGAGUGGAACUCCAUGUGUAGCGGUGGAAUGCGUAGAUAUAUGGAAGAACACCAGUGGCGAAGGCGGCUCUCUGGUCUGCAACUGACGCUGAGGCUCGAAAGCAUGGGUAGCGAACAGGAUUAGAUACCCUGGUAGUCCAUGCCG